UACGUGCAGAGGAAAUUGGU
rnacentral:piRNA from 1 species